rnacentral:rRNA from 1 species
CCCAGACUCCUACGGGAGGCAGCAGUGGGGAAUAUUGCACAAUGGGGGGAACCCUGAUGCAGCGACGCCGCGUGGGUGAAGGAGCACCUCGGUGCGUAAAGCCCUAUCGGCAGGGAAGAAACAGACGGUACCUGACUAAGAAGCCCCGGCUAACUACGUGCCAGCAGCCGCGGUAAUACGUAGGGGGCAAGCGUUAUCCGGAUUCACUGGGUGUAAAGGGAGCGUAGACGGCGACGCAAGUCUGGAGUGAAAGCCCGGGGCCCAACCCCGGGACUGCUCUGGAAACUGCGGCGCUGGAGUGCGGGAGGGGCAGGCGGAAUUCCUGGUGUAGCGGUGAAAUGCGUAGAUAUCAGGAGGAACACCGGCGGCGAAGGCGGCCUGCUGGACCGUGACUGACGUUGAGGCUCGAGAGCGUGGGGAGCAAACAGGAUUAGAUACCCCGGUA